rnacentral:rRNA from 1 species
CCUACGGGAGGCAGCAGUAGGGAAUCUUCCGCAAUGGGGGAAACCCUGACGGAGCAACGCCGCGUGAGUGAUGAAGUUCUUCGGUAUGUAAAACUCUGUCAGCAGGGAAGAACAUAACGGUACGUGACUAUGCACCUCCUGCUAACUCCGUGCCAGCCGCCGCGGUAAUACGUAGGGGGCAAGCGUUAUCCGGAUUUACUGGGUGUAACGGGAGCGUAGACGGUGUAGCAAGUCUGAUGUGAAAGGUCAGGGUCCAACCCCGGGGCUGCAUUGGAAACUGUUGAACUGGAGUGCAGUAGAGGAAAGUGGAAUUCCUAGUGUAGCGGUGAAAUGCGCAGAUAUUAGGAGGAACACCAGUGGCGAAGGCGACUUACUGGACUGUAACUGACGUUGAGGUUCGAAAGCGUGGGGAGCAAACAGGAUUAGAUACCCGGGUAGUC